CGGCUCCUAGCUCAACGGCAGAGCAGGCGGCUUAUACCCGCCGGGUUCCUGGUUCGAAUCCAGGGGAGCCGA
rnacentral:tRNA from 1 species